rnacentral:rRNA from 1 species
GACGAACGCUGGCGGCGUGCUUAACACAUGCAAGUCGAACGAUGAACUUGGAGCUUGCUCUGGGGGAUUAGUGGCGAACGGGUGAGUAACACGUGAGUAACCUGCCCUGGACUCUGGGAUAACUUCGAGAAAUCGGAGCUAAUACCGGAUAGGACCUUGCACCGCAUGGUGUGGGGUGGAAAGUUUUUCGGUUUGGGAUGGACUCGCGGCCUAUCAGCUUGUUGGUGAGGUAAUGGCUCACCAAGGCGUCGACGGGUAGCCGGCCUGAGAGGGUGACCGGCCACACUGGGACUGAGACACGGCCCAGACUCCUACGGGAGGCAGCAGUGGGGAAUAUUGCACAAUGGGCGCAAGCCUGAUGCAGCAACGCCGCGUGCGGGAUGACGGCCUUCGGGCUGUAAACCGCUUUUAGUAGGGAAGAAGCCUUCGGGUGACGGUACCUGCGGAAAAAGGACCGGCUAACUACGUGCCAGCAGCCGCCGUAAAAC